AGGACGAACGCUGGCGGCGUGCUUAACACAUGCAAGUCGAACGGUGAACUCCGCUUGCGGGGGGAUCAGUGGCGAACGGGUGAGUAACACGUGGGCAACCUGCCCUCAGCUCUGGGAUAACUCCAAGAAAUUGGGGCUAAUACUGGAUAUGACCGCUGACCGCAUGGUCUGGUGGUGGAAAGAUUUAUCGGCUGGGGAUGGGCCCGCGGCCUAUCAGCUUGUUGGUGGGGUAGUGGCCUACCAAGGCGACGACGGGUAGCCGGCCUGAGAGGGUGACCGGCCACACUGGGACUGAGACACGGCCCAGACUCCUACGGGAGGCAGCAGUGGGGAAUAUUGCGCAAUGGGCGAAAGCCUGACGCAGCGACGCCGCGUGGGGAUGACGGCCUUCGGGUUGUAAACCUCUUUCAGCGAGGACGAAGCGAAGUGACGGUACCUGCAGAAGAAGCACCGGCCAACUACGUGCCAGCAGCCGC
rnacentral:rRNA from 1 species